CUGCACUGAUCGUAACCUGGUCCAGCUUCAGUCUGGACUCCGGGUUCCAUUCCAGUGCUAUAUUGAAGUCCAGCUAGGCAUGGGGGCACGGCCUGUCUGUGGUGGCUCUCUGUUCACAAUCUGGGAACAACG